UACAGAGGUCCCAAGCGUUGUUCGGAUUUACUGGGCGUAAAGGGUCCGUAGGCGGUUUAGAAAGUUGAAUGUGAAAUCCCGCAGCUUAACUGCGGAACUGCAUUCAAAACUCCUAGACUAGAGUAUGAGAGGGGUAAAGGGAAUUCCCGGUGUAAGGGUGAAAUCUGCAGAGAUCGGGAGGAACACCAGUCGCGAAGGCGCUUUACUGGCUCAUUACUGACGCUCAGGGACGAAAGCUAGGGUAGCAAACGGG
rnacentral:rRNA from 1 species